rnacentral:rRNA from 1 species
GAUGAACGCUGGCGGCGUGCCUAAUACAUGCAAGUCGAGCGAACAGACGAGGAGCUUGCUCCUCUGACGUUAGCGGCGGACGGGUGAGUAACACGUGGAUAACCUACCUAUAAGACUGGGAUAACUUCGGGAAACCGGAGCUAAUACCGGAUAAUAUUUUGAACCGCAUGGUUCAAUAGUGAAAGACGGUUUUGCUGUCACUUAUAGAUGGAUCCGCGCCGCAUUAGCUAGUUGGUAAGGUAACGGCUUACCAAGGCAACGAUGCAUAGCCGACCUGAGAGGGUGAUCGGCCACACUGGAACUGAGACACGGUCCAGACUCCUACGGGAGGCAGCAGUAGGGAAUCUUCCGCAAUGGGCGAAAGCCUGACGGAGCAACGCCGCGUGAGUGAUGAAGGUCUUCGGAUCGUAAAACUCUGUUAUUAGGGAAGAACAAAUGUGUAAGUAACUAUGCACGUCUUGACGGUACCUAAUCAGAAAGCCACGGCUAACUACGUG